AGCAGCCGCGGUAAUUCCAGCUCCAAUAGCGUAUAUUAAAGUUGUUGCAGUUAAAAAGCUCGUAGUUGAAUUUCGGGACCAAUCUGCCGGUCGUGCCUCCGGUACGCACUGGUUUUAUUGGUUUCUCCCUUCUGACGAACCAUGAUGUCAUUAAUUUGGUGUCAUGGGGAAUCAGGACUGUUACUUUGAAAAAAUUAGAGUGUUUAUAGCAGGCUCACGCUUGAAUACAUUAGCAUGGAAUAAUGAAAUAGGACGUUUGACCCUAUUUUGUUGGUUUCUAGGAUCGACGUAAUGAUUAAUAGGGAUAGUUGGGGGCAUUAGUAUUCAAUUGUCAGAGGUGAAAUUCUUGGAUUUAUUGAAGACUAACUACUGCGAAAGCAUUUGCCAAGGAUGUUUUCAUUAAUCAAGAACGAAAGUUAGGGGAUCGAAGACGAUCAGAUACCGUCGUAGUCUUAACCAUAAACUAUGCCGACUAGGGAUCGGAUGAUGUUAAUUUUUAAUGACUCAUUCGGCGCCUUAA
rnacentral:rRNA from 1 species